rnacentral:rRNA from 1 species
GCCACACUGGGACUGAGACACGGCCCAGACUCCUACGGGAGGCAGCAGUGGGGAAUAUUGCACAAUGGGCGCAAGCCUGGAUGCAGCCAUGCCGCGUGUGUGAAGAAGGCCUUCGGGUUGUAAAGCACUUUCAGUCAGGAGGAAAGCGGUGGUGGUUAAUUACCCAGUCAUGUGUGACGUUACUGACAGAAGAAGCACCGGCUAACUCCGUGCCAGCAGCCGCGGUAA